ensembl:lncRNA LINC01865 long intergenic non-protein coding RNA 1865
CUUCUGUCCUCUCCCCUCUGCCUUCUCCCUCUCCCCUCUCCCCUGUCGCCUCUGCCCUGCUCCCUUCUCUGUCCUGGGCUUCUGCCCCCCUCACCGCUCUCUGCAUCCACUCCAGCUUUUCCCCCCUUCACUUUCUCCAAACAGUGAUUUUUUGAAACUAAUAUCAACAAGAUCAGGACAACUGCAAUCACUUUACCCGACUUGUCAGUUUCCUAUUUAGAAAAUUCAGACUAUGGAGUGGAAUUGGCUCCUCAUGGGACCCAUGCCAAAGCUGCAGCGUUGUGCAAUGGAUUCCAUCAGAGUUUGGCACUUUUUUCUUCAAAGUUACGGUGCAGGUGACUGAGGACAGCUGUUGCGAGCGCUGCUUCUUGGUUCCCCCGGAAUGGGAGGCAUCACGUGCGGCUUCCAGGAGGCCACCUCAGGGAGGAUCGUGUUUCCAUGCACAGCGAAGGAUCUGGGCAGUGUGCUGGACCUUCUCUUGCGUGGUUAGUUGUAAAACUUGAUGCUUCUGCAGGCAGAUGAUGGCAGAAAGCUCCCACCCCACCACGCUGAUGACGGCAGAAAGCUCCCGCCCCACCACGCUGAUGACGGCAGAAAGCUCCCGCCCCACCACGCUGAUGAUGGCACUCUCGUUGGGUGGUUGUGUGGUCUUCAUACAAUUUCAGGGUAAAUCGCCACUUGAUGUCAUUGCUAAAUGGGAUACCUGAGCUAUGAUGAUUUUGCCUGAUUGUUAAAGUUAGUAUUUUAAGACCAAAGAUGGACAAAAUACGUUAAAAUUGUCUGUAAAAAGGCACAUUUCUGAAUUUGCUUUUAAUACUUUAAAAGAUAUAAAGCUGUUGUAUUAUAACAGGAAGGAUUGCUACAAGAACAGAUCUGUCAGAAAACAAAACCGCAUCUUGAAUUGAAAUGGAAAAUGAAAUUUAGCUACACUUCGUA